GACGAACGCUGGCGGCGUGCUUAACACAUGCAAGUCGAACGGAAAGGCCCUGCUUUUGUGGGGUGCUCGAGUGGCGAACGGGUGAGUAACACGUGAGUAACCUGCCCUUGACUUUGGGAUAACUUCAGGAAACUGGGGCUAAUACCGGAUAGGAGCUCCUGCUGCAUGGUGGGGGUUGGAAAGUUUCGGCGGUUGGGGAUGGACUCGGGGCGUAUCAGCUUGUUGGUGGGGUAGUGGCUUACCAAGGCUUUGACGGGUAGCCGGCCUGAGAGGGUGACCGGCCACCUUGGGAAGGGGCAACGCCCCAGCCCCCACCGGGAGGCAGCAGUGGAGAAUAUUGUAUAAGGGGGCGAGGCCUGAUGGGGGAGCACCGCGGGCGGGAUGGCCGCCUUCGGGUUGUAAACCGCUUUCGCCUGUGACGGAGCGUGAGUGACGGUAAUGGGUAAAGAAGCACCGGCUAAGUACGUG
rnacentral:rRNA from 1 species